ensembl:lncRNA
GGCCCUCCCCGCAGCAGCCUGUCUGUCUGCCCACACGCCCACCCCAUCUGGCCCCAGGGGCAGCAGACGUGGCUGGUGGCCCCCUGCGGGCCCGCUGGCCGAUAAGUACCCGGCUGGCCGCCCCUGUGUCUGGCCAGAGGAGCCAGAGCCUCUCAGCCCUUCAAGUUUGCCUUGAACUCCCAUGUCCACCGUCGGUCAGUCUGGACAGCCCGGCAUUAUCUCGCUCAUCUCAGGCUCCUGCUGCCGCCAGAGGAAAUUAGCUUCAGAGAAAGCUGAGAUGAGCUUUGCAGCGGACCCCAGGCAGCCACUUGACAAAGGCCUCCAGGAGCGCUGACCAGACCCUGGUGGGGGCAGGGCGGGAAGGAGGAGCUUAUCAACUCCAAGAUGAGUCUCAGGGGCCUAAGAGCCUGCCAGGCCAUGGGUCCCGGUGUCAGUCAGCUGUCGGUUACCUGCUGAGGUCCACACCCUGCACAAGGCGAGGCGGGGGCGGCUCCCAGGCUCCUCUCCACCCUUGCUCCUGCAGGCUCACACACCCGUCCCUGCACUCGUGCCUUUCCAUGGAGACGUCUGUGUACAUUCGUGCACACAGAGCCCCUCAACACACUCAGGGGCCCACAGUGGUCCGUGACCUCCCAGGGUGUACGGGAGGCCAGGACAAGCACUCACGCCAUUCUGGGCCAGGCCUGCCCAACUUUGACCUCCGAACCCCGCCUUGCCUCUUCUGAGCCUGCUCCUGACCGCACUGGCAGGUCGGGGUGGCCCUGAGCCUCAUAAAGCCCUUUGGCCCACAGGAAAGCAGGCAUCACCUCUCAGGACCACCUCCCCAUAGGCAUUAGACACAGCACGGACCCUGGGCUCAGCCACAGCCACCGUCACAGCCAUUGAGUUCUCCUGGCACGAGCCACCAGGGCCCUCCAGCCCUCUCUCCUCGCAUCUUCGUUACCCUCACUCCCUUGUCAGCCAGAGGGCUCAGCAUCCCCAUCGUACAGAAGCAACACCUGAGUCCUGGGCACGUCACCACUAGCCUACCACCCAGCGCCACUCUCCACUUGUCCUGGAGCUGGGUGUGUGGCGCCAGAGAGCCUGCCAGACUUCAUCUCACCCCUGACCCCAAGAUCCUACGACGGGCCUUGCGCCUCAGCCCUAUGGGGAUGCAGGGUGGUCCCAGAGUCCAGUGGGGCUGGGUGUUGGCUGUGAGGGCCCCACCUGGCGAAUCUGGUGGGGACAGGAGCCACCCUGGCCUUCUUGUGCCCGGUCCCUGAUGGGGAGGAGGGUUCUGUCCUGCCUCAGGAUUCUGGGGUCCCAAACCAUGUAGGAGUUGAACUUUAGCUGCCAGUGUUGAUGACAGGCCCCUGGGCAUGUCCAGAGGUGCCCAGAGAUGGAGGCAGAGGUGGCCUUGCCCGUAGCCUAGGGUAGCCUGCCUCUGGGGUGGUACCACAAGGAGAGGUAGGGCUCAUUCGGGCAGGGAGGACAGGGCCCUGGGGCUCCCAGAUUUGAGACCUGGCCCUGGCCCUCGACGGGCAUCUGAGUCUUAUUCCUUCUCUUUCUCUGACCCGACAGCCCCUGCUUGCCCUGCAAGCUGUCUGGAGCUUCUUGCAGACCCGCUACCCCUGCCCCCAGCAAGCAGCAGUAACCUCCCAGCUCAUCGCUAGUGUGAGCCCUUCAGAGUUAAUGAGACCACCUGGGCCCCCAACCCUGUCUGCCUGAGGUCCCCCAACAGAGUCCCUUUCCCCAAUGAGCCCUGCUUGCUUGUGUGGGCAAAGGGCCUCCUGAGCCAUCAGACCCCACUCAGCCAGUACCCUGCUACCUGGGUGGGACCCACAGCCCGUGGGCUCCUGGGAUCGAGGCCAUAAAUGUGGCUGGAGGUUUUGCUGACAUCCCGAGAAGCCUCCUUCUCUCUGUUGUGGUUUCA